GACAGAGCCGUUCUACUUCAACGCGCAUAUAAAACCAAUCCCCUACGCCAGGCGCUACAUCGACUACAAAGGAGAGUGUCUGGUUUCAGGGUACGGAAAAAUACAUUCAAUGAAGCCGAUAUCCUCCGAAAAGUUGCUGCUUGCACGGUUAGAGUUGCUGCCGACAUAUUGGUGCACCAACCUGCACGGCAGAAACAUGAGAAGAUUCAUCUGCACUAACACUAAAGUAUCGGAUGUUGCCCAGGGUGAUUCCGGGGGACCGUUAGUGUGCCGUAGUACAGGAGAGAAGCACGAAGACUCUACAUUCGGCAUAUUAGUAGGUAUAGUUAGCGGCACCCGCCUACUUGGGUAUAAGGGCAAAAGCUCAUUUUUCACCCGAGUGUCGUACUUUUCAAAAUACAUCAGAGAGAAUAGAGCAGAAAGCGCUACGUUUGUAUACGUUUAUCAUUAUGUCAUUGUCUUGAACACAUUUUAUACUGUAUUAUGAUUUGCACUAUAACACUGCAUGUUAUGCACCUUAUUGACCGUAAGCAAUUUUCUUUAAUUGAUUUUAUCACUAAAUUAUUGUCAAUCAUGAACAUUAUGUACCUACUAUUUUUCGAAUAAACUAAUGAACUACUUUGUAUAAAGAAA